rnacentral:rRNA from 1 species
UGUCGUCAGCUCGUGUUGUGAAAUGUUGGGUUAAGUCCCGCAACGAGCGCAACCCUUAUCCUUUGUUGCCAGCGAUUAGGUCGGGAACUCAAAGGAGACUGCCAGUGAUAAACUGGAGGAAGGUGGGGAUGACGUCAAGUCAUCAUGGCCCUUACGACCAGGGCUACACACGUGCUACAAUGGCGCAUACAAAGAGAAGCGACCUCGCGAGAGCAAGCGGACCUCAUAAAGUGCGUCGUAGUCCGGAUUGGAGUCUGCAACUCGACUCCAUGAAGUCGGAAUCGCUAGUAAUCGUGGAUCAGAAUGCCACGGUGAAUACGUUCCCGGGCCUUGUACACACCGCCCGUCACACCAUGGGAGUGGGUUGCAAAAGAAGUAGGUAGCUUAACCUUCGGGAGGGCGCUUACCACUUUGUGAUUCAUGACUGGGGUGAAGUCGUAACAAGGUAACCGUAGGGGAACCUGCGGUU